AGUGAACGCUGGCGGUAGGCCUAACACAUGCAAGUCGAACGGCAGCACAGUAAGAGCUUGCUCUUACGGGUGGCGCGUGGCGGACGGGUGAGGAAUACAUCGGAAUCUACUUUUUCGUGGGGGAUAACGUAGGGAAACUUACGCUAAUACCGCAUACGACCUACGGGUGAAAGCAGGGGAUCUUCGGACCUUGCGCGAUUGAAUGAGCCGAUGUCGGAUUAGCUAGUUGGCGGGGUAAAGGCCCACCAAGGCGACGAUCCGUAGCUGGUCUGAGAGGAUGAUCAGACACACUGGAACUGAGACACGGUCCAGACUCCUACGGGAGGAAGCAGUGGGGAAUAUUGGACAAUGGGCGAAAGCCUGAUCCAGCCAUACCGCGUGGGUGAAGAAGGCCUUCGGGUUGUAAAGCCCUUUUGUUGGGAAAGAAAAGCAGCAGGUUAAUACCCCGCUGUUCUGACGGUACCCAAAGAAUAAGCACCGGCUAACUUCGUG
rnacentral:rRNA from 1 species